UACGUAGGGGGCAAGCGUUAUCCGGAUUUACUGGGUGUAAAGGGAGCGCAGACGGCAGUGCAAGUCUGGAGUGAAAGCCCGGGGCCCAACCCCGGAACUGCUCUGGAAACUGUGUGGCUAGAGUACUGGAGGGGCAGGCGGAAUUCCUAGUGUAGCGGUGAAAUGCGUAGAUAUUAGGAGGAACACCAGUGGCGAAGGCGGCCUGCUGGACAGUAACUGACGUUGAGGCUCGAAAGCGUGGGGAGCAAACAGG
rnacentral:rRNA from 1 species